rnacentral:rRNA from 1 species
GAUGAACGCUGGCGGCGUGCCUAGUACAUGCAAGUCGAGCGAAUGGAUUAAGAGCUUGCUCUUAUGAAGUUAGCGGCGGACGGGUGAGUAACACGUGGGUAACCUGCCCAUAAGACUGGGAUAACUCCGGGAAAACGGGGCUAAUACCGGAUAACAUUUUGAACCGCAUGGUGCGAAAUUGAAAGGCGGCUUCGGCUGUCACAUAUGGAUGGACUCGCGUCGCAUUAGCCAGGUGGUGAGGUAACGGCUCACCAAGGCAACGAUGCGUAGCCGACCUGGGAGGGUGAUCGGCCACACUGGGACUGAGACACGGCCCAGACUCCUACGGGAGGCAGCAGUAGGGAAUCUUCCGCAAUGGACGAAAGUCUGACGGAGCAACGCCGCGUGAGUGAUGAAGGCUUUCGGGUCGUAAAACUCUGUUGUUAGGGAAGAACAAGUGCUAGUUGAAUAAGCUGGCACCUUGACGGUACCUAACCAGAAAGCCACGGCUAACUACGUGCCAGCAGCCGCAGUAA